ACAGAGUGACUGAUUCAUUCUGUCUACCGUUGUAGAAACAGCCUGGCGCCGAACCAUACUGGAGCCUGAGAAGCACAAGGAAAAAAUGAGUUAUUAUUAUCCUGCAUUGUUUAAAUUUUUGGUAUUUUGCUCGUGAUGGAUUUUUUUGCAUUAAUUGAUUUUUUCAAACGAUUGCAGGACCAUCUCAUUUAUCUGAUGCCUGAGUUUUUGGCACCUCCUUAAAUUUUGCACCUCCAGCCAGUGCCUCCCUUUCUCCACCCUAGACCCAGCCCUGGUACAUACUUUUAUUUAUGUGCCAGCGGGCAGUGAGCUACCUGCUAGAGACAGAAGAUCAAGAGCUCUCAGACUAGUGAGAGCCAGUCGUGCAAACCGUCACAACACAGCCUGAUAAGACUGUGCACAGCAUGUAGGGAGAAAGAGUUGCCGUUGAAUCAAGGUCCAUGGGAGGAGGGCUCCAGGGAGCUGGUGGAAAGGUGAAUGGGCGAAAGAUGAUGCACUCGGAGUGUUGGGAAAUGACACAUCCCUUCUUAGCUCUGAGCCUCAGUUUUCCACUCCUGUAAAAUGGAGGGAUUGGUAGCACCUACUGCAUAAGGUUGUUGUCAGGACUAGAAUGAAUUCGCUACGUUAAGCACCUCGAGUCGCUUCUGGAUUGUAACAGUACUAAAGAUAUCCACGACAGUGAUGGGAGUGCCAGCAGCAGCCACCAGAACCCCAAGAGCACAGCCAAGUGGGCGGCUUCUUUGGAGAAUCUACUUGAAGACCCAGAAGGCGUGAAAAGAUUUAGGGUUUGCAUUUUUGUUGUUGUUGUUGACUGGGAUUGAUGCAACACACCAAGCGGUUUCAGAGCCUGUGGGGGAAACCCAGGCCAGCUUUUAACACUGCGUGUCCCCACUUGAGAAUGAGACCGGCGCACCUGUCAUGCCCAAGAUGGAAACGCUUUCCCGCACAGUUCUUAUACAGCUGGCUGGGAGGGGUAGAGAUGCCGGGGACGCGGUUCCAUGCUUGUUGACAAAGCGUUUCCAGCUCUGUGACACCUGGAAGGGGGUGGCCUGGGUUUCUGUGAUGUGAAGGUUUGUUCUCUUGUGUGUUGGGGAUUUUCAGGAUAUAUUAGUGACAGUGAAAGAGGCCGGAUGACAGCUGGCAAGGUGAAGUUGAACUCAGAGGAGGGCAGGUGGAUGACAAGGUCAGUGCUGCCUAGAAAGGGUCUGCAGAAACCCCAGGUGUCAGAAGAACCACAUGUGAAUGUCAAGAAUGCCUUUUAUCUGCCCGACUCCCACUGACGUCUGUCUUUAAGCCUUGGGUCAGGCCAGGAUAAGCUCUCGUGCUGUUGCUCCCUGUUGCAGAUUCCAAGGAGGGGGUAGCAGGCAGGGCUACUCACAGUUCUGGACAGAGGACCCCAGUGAGCACCAUCUGGAUCUCGAGGAGAAAACUUUUCCAUGCAUAGCCAGAGAGCUGGCUGUGCCAACAAGCCCCCCAACAUCUGCCAGAGGAAAGCACACCUCCAACUUCAGAUAGUUUUCAUCAUGGCAUUUCUAGACAUGCUUAAUAUGUUUUCUUUUGUUUAAAAAAAGGGGGGGCCUAAAUUUAGAGGAAUGUACUUUGUUUAAACACUGUCUAGAAGGAAUGAAUAGAUCUUCCACUUUAAUUUACUUUCUGGUAAUUUAUUGUCAGUUGAGAAUUGUAAGUAGAUUCCUGCUUUCUUACUCUUCUUCACAAUGUCAAAGUCAUUAAGUUCAAAUGCACGUGGAAUUCCAUCUGUAACAUUAAACAUACAUGGGGUUUUUCAGGGCGGAGAUUGAUCAGUUAUUGAAUUUUGACAUAUCUGUUCUUAAAGGGAAAUGCUUUGUUUUUGAAGUAGAAUACUGUUUGACAUUUUUCUUCUUUUCAUCCAUAGGAGUUUUUAAAAAAAGAAUUCAGUGAAGAGAAUGUUUUGUUUUGGCUAGCCUG
rnacentral:lncRNA from 1 species